rnacentral:rRNA from 1 species
UAGGGAAUCUUCGGCAAUGGACGGAAGUCUGACCGAGCAACGCCGCGUGAGUGAAGAAGGUUUUCGGAUCGUAAAGCUCUGUUGUUAGAGAAGAACGUUGGUAGGAGUGGAAAAUCUACCAAGUGACGGUAACUAACCAGAAAGGGACGGCUAACUACGUGCCAGCAGCCGCGGUAAUACGUAGGUCCCGAGCGUUGUCCGGAUUUAUUGGGCGUAAAGCGAGCGCAGGCGGUUCUUUAAGUCUGAAGUUAAAGGCAGUGGCUUAACCAUUGUACGCUUUGGAAACUGGAGGACGUGAGUGCAGAAGGGGGGAGUGGAAUUCCAUGUGUAGCGGUGAAAUGCGUAGAUAUAUGGAGGAACACCGGUGGCGAAAGCGGCUCUCUGGUCUGUAACUGACGCUGAGGCUCGAAAGCGUGGGGAGCAAACAGG